UAGGGAAUCUUCGNCAAUGGACGGAAGUCUGACCGAGCAACGCCGCGUGAGUGAAGAAGGUUUUCGGAUCGUAAAGCUCUGUUGUAAGAGAAGAACGAGUGUGAGAGUGGAAAGUUCACACUGUGACGGUAUCUUACCAGAAAGGGACGGCUAACUACGUGCCAGCAGCCGCGGUAAUACGUAGGUCCCGAGCGUUGUCCGGAUUUAUUGGGCGUAAAGCGAGCGCAAGCGGUUAGAUAAGUCUGAAGUUAAAGGCUGUGGCUUAACCAUAGUAGGCUUUGGAAACUGUUUAACUUGAGUGCAAGAGGGGAGAGUGGAAUUCCAUGUGUAGCGGUGAAAUGCGUAGAUAUAUGGAGGAACACCGGUGGCGAAAGCGGCUCUCUGGCUUGUAACUGACGCUGAGGCUCGAAAGCGUGGGGAGCAAACAGGAUUAGAUACCCUGGUAGUCCACGCUGUAAACGAUGAGUGCUAGGUGUUAGACCCUUUCCGGGGUUUAGUGCCGUAGCUAACGCAUUAAGCACUCCGCCUGGGGAGUACGACCGCAAGGUUG
rnacentral:rRNA from 1 species